rnacentral:rRNA from 1 species
UGGGUAACCUGCCCUGUACACACGGAUAACAUACCGAAAGGUAUGCUAAUACGAGAUAAUAUGCUUUUAUCGCAUGGUAGAAGUAUCAAAGCUCUGGCGGUACAGGAUGGUCCCGCGUCUGAUUAGCUAGUUGGUAAGGUAACGGCUUACCAAGGCGACGAUCAGUAGCCGACCUGAGAGGGUGAUCGGCCACAUUGGAACUGAGACACGGUCCAAACUCCUACGGGAGGNAG